GCAAACUUGGUCAUUUAGAGGAAGUAAAAGUCGUAACAAGGUUUCCGUAGGUGAACCUGCGGAAGGAUCAUUAGUGAGAGGUGCUGCACCUGGUGCAGUGCUGCCUUGCACACACUUGACGUGCCCAUCCAGCAGGCUUUCAUUGCAUGGGACUGCUGGCUGGUGGAUGAAAUGGCACAGGUUACACAUCCCUUGCAUGCUGGAUUGCUUGCUGGGAUGCUCCUGGGGCCACUAUUGGAGAUUGGCAGUCUGUAAUAACCUUUGACAAUGGAUCUCUUGGCUCUGGCAUCGAUGAAGAACGCAGC
rnacentral:misc_RNA from 1 species